AUUGAACGCUGGCGGUAUGCUUAACACAUGCAAGUCGAACGGUAGCAGGCCUUCGGGCGCUGACGAGUGGCGGACGGGUGAGUAACGCGUAGGAAUCUGCCUCAUAGUGGGGGACAACGUGGGGAAACUCACGCUAAUACCGCAUACGCCCUACGGGGAAAGGACGGGGGAGUCUUCGGACCUCGCGCUAUGAGAUGAGCCUGCGUUAGAUUAGCUAGUUGGUAGGGUAAAGGCCUACCAAGGCGACGAUCUAUAGCUGGUCUGAGAGGACGAUCAGCCACACUGGGACUGAGACACGGCCCAGACUCCUACGGGAGGCAGCAGUGGGGGAAUAUUGGACAAUGGGCGAAAGCCUGAUCCAGCAAUGCCGCGUGAGUGAUGAAGGCCUUAGGGUUGUAAAGCUCUUUUACCAGGGAUGAUAAUGACAGUACCUGGAGAAUAAGCUCCGGCUAACUCCGUGCCAGCAGCCGCGGUAAU
rnacentral:rRNA from 1 species